rnacentral:tRNA from 233 species
GCGCCGCUAGCUCAGUUGGUUAGAGCAGCUGACUCUUAAUCAGCGGGUCCGGGGUUCGAGUCCCUGGCGGCGCAC